GAUGAACGCUGGCGGCGUGCCUAAUACAUGCAAGUCGAGCGAACGGACGAGAAGCUUGCUUUUCUGAUGUUAGCGGCGGACGGGUGAGUAACACGUGGAUAACCUACCUAUAAGACUGGGAUAACUUCGGGAAACCGGAGCUAAUACCGGAUAAUAUUUUGAACCGCAUGGUUCAAAAGUGAAAGACGGUCUUGCUGUCACUUAUAGAUGGAUCCGCGCUGCAUUAGCUAGUUGGUAAGGUAACGGCUUACCAAGGCAACGAUGCAUAGCCGACCUGAGAGGGUGAUCGGCCACACUGGAACUGAGACACGGUCCAGACUCCUACGGGAGGCAGCAGUAGGGAAUCUUCCGCAAUGGGCGAAAGCCUGACGGAGCAACGCCGCGUGAGUGAUGAAGGUCUUCGGAUCGUAAAACUCUGUUAUUAGGGAAGAACAUAUGUGUAAGUAACUGUGCACAUCUUGACGGUACCUAAUCAGAAAGCCACGGCUAACUACGUGCCAGCAGCCGCGGUAAUACGUAGGUGGCAAGCGUUAUCCGGAAUUAUUGGGCGUAAAGCGCGCGUAGGCGGUUUUUUAAGUCUGAUGUGAAAGCCCACGGCUCAACCGUGGAGGGUCAUUGGAAACUGGAAAACUUGAGUGCAGAAGAGGAAAGUGGAAUUCCAUGUGUAGCGGUGAAAUGCGCAGAGAUAUGGAGGAACACCAGUGGCGAAGGCGACUUUCUGGUCUGUAACUGACGCUGAUGUGCGAAAGCGUGGGGAUCAAACAGGAUUAGAUACCCUGGUAGUCCACGCCGUAAACGAUGAGUGCUAAGUGUUAGGGGGUUUCCGCCCCUUAGUGCUGCAGCUAACGCAUUAAGCACUCCGCCUGGGGAGUACGACCGCAAGGUUGAAACUCAAAGGAAUUGACGGGGACCCGCACAAGCGGUGGAGCAUGUGGUUUAAUUCGAAGCAACGCGAAGAACCUUACCAAAUCUUGACAUCCUUUGACAACUCUAGAGAUAGAGCCUUCCCCUUCGGGGGACAAAGUGACAGGUGGUGCAUGGUUGUCGUCAGCUCGUGUCGUGAGAUGUUGGGUUAAGUCCCGCAACGAGCGCAACCCUUAAGCUUAGUUGCCAUCAUUAAGUUGGGCACUCUAAGUUGACUGCCGGUGACAAACCGGAGGAAGGUGGGGAUGACGUCAAAUCAUCAUGCCCCUUAUGAUUUGGGCCACACACGUGCUACAAUGGACAAUACAAAGGGCAGCGAAACCGCGAGGUCAAGCAAAUCCCAUAAAGUUGUUCUCAGUUCGGAUUGUAGUCUGCAACUCGACUACAUGAAGCUGGAAUCGCUAGUAAUCGUAGAUCAGCAUGCUACGGUGAAUACGUUCCCGGGUCU
rnacentral:rRNA from 1 species